rnacentral:lncRNA from 1 species
GCAGAGGCAGGAAGAGGAAGCGGCACCCGCUUCGGGGACCCAGCCGGCGGCCAGGCCACCGCGCCCACCCGGCCGAUGGCACCGUGUUCCUGCGCCUCGGGAGGGAGGAGGCUCUGCGCGGGACUGCAGGUUCUGCCCCGCAUCGGAGUGAUCGCUGAGCCUGACGCUCUCGAAGGCUGGGCCUGGGGCCCGCAAUCUACUCCGGAGGCUUUCCCACUGGGCAGGGUCGCUAGCAGGGUGAGAGAAAGCCCCGGGCCAUCCCCGAGUGCCGGGGCCACAGGAAGAAUUUGUGGCGACAUCAUCCCUUCCCCAGGUGCCACCCGGGUGCAGUGAGGACCUGGAGCCCCUGCCCCAGGCUGUGAGGAGACUUGACCAGAGCUGCCUGAAUGCUCCACGGAGCAGGUGGGAGCCCACCCUCCCAGGUGCAGGACCCGGGAGUCUCUGCACUCUGCACCCUCGGGGGCCCAGGGGACCCCCUUGCCCUUGCAGGCUUGUAUCUGCUCCUGCUGCCUAGCCUCUCCCCACUGCCGGCGCCUGCCUGGAUCUCGGAGCAGGGUUGGGGCCGUGCCCCAGCACUGACAGCCCGGCCAGGAGGAAGCAUUCCCAUGUGAAAGAUGAGCUCCCUAUAAAAGCAACGCUCUUAUCAUCGAGAACAGAAAGUUGAAGCCAAGAGAGAGCUCCACAAGCUGACCUUGUUAAACUAACCCUUAUCUUCUUAGUCGCUUCUUUACCCAAUUAACUACCCUAGCCGAAGCCCCUUUGCCUUAUUACAUUUUGCAACAGUGUUCGUUGUCCAAUUCAGUAUACAAGUGAGUGACUCUGGAUGCUUUUUGGGGUCUUCGUUUCCUUAUGAGGGCUUCUGUGCCAUGUAAAACUUGUAUUAAAUAAAUUUGUAUGCUUUUCUCCUGUUAAUCUGUCUAUAUCGAUUGAACUUUAGGGUCCAGUCAGAACCCAAAGAGGAUGGAGGUGGAGUUUUGGCUCCUCUACAGCUAUCUGAAUAAUCAAAAUUCAAGAUAUUCCAUGUUCUUUCUGAGUUUCUUUGAAAUUAAAAAUGCAGACAACCACUCAACUAAUACGUCAGCGAGAUACGUUUUCUGUCCUUAUUGCCUUACUGAUGAAAUUGCCUUUAUUCAUAAAAAAUAAAUGUGGGAGUCUUGUUUAUUUAUUUCUAAUGACAUUAACUUGACAUUAACCUUGGUGCUCUUGGGAACCAUAAAUGGGCCCUGUACUACUUGUUACAGAGUAUAAAUUCCCAGAACUACAAGUACAUCAUAUUCCUCAAGUUACUGAAGAAUUUCAUGAUCCAUGUGUCAGGCCUCUGAGCCCAAGC